GGAGUGCGUGUCUGUGUGUGCGUGUGUGCGUACCUCUCAAUCUAUGUGUGCGUGUGCCUGUGUGUGUGUGUGUGCUAGUCGCGCAUGUGACUGCCAGCUGCGUUCGUUUACAAAUCAAGAAAAAUAUAAAAGAAAUUGAAAUAAUCAAAUUGUGCACAAUAAAUUUUUGAAGAAUUCAACUAAAGGAAUGAAAAACUAAAUGCAAAUAAGCAGGCGAGAAAAACGAGAACGUAAACGAGAACGAAAACGAAGACAAAAACAAAAACAAAAACAAGCAACAGCAAAUGCAAACAUAAAACGAACAGAGAAACAACAAUUGAAGUUAAGGAAACGGAAGCGAGUUUUUCUUUUGGCGGCGUUGUUGUUGUUGUCUUCCGUGACAGCAGCCAAGAGCUAGCGAAAAGUUGAUAGCAGCAAAAGCCAGAAAGGGCCGGCAGAGAAUGAAACAAAGGCCAGGGCAGCGGGCAUCAACAGGAGAAGCAGCAACAGCAGCAACAGCAACAGCAGCAACAGCAACAGCAGCAACAGCAACAGAGGCAACACUUGGCCAGGAAAAAGCGAAAUCCCAUUUAAAGAAUUUUAAUCGAAUACUGCCAAGAAACAAAUAUAUGUAUUUACAAGAUAUAUAUACACGGAAUAAAUA